rnacentral:misc_RNA from 1 species
AGGUGAUGGAAUUUGGCUAGAUUUUAUUGAUGGUAAAGUGAGAUGCCCUGCUAUUGAAGCAAGUGCGUCUGUUCUUCAAUACAAGGACGUGGAAUUAUUUUAUCAACUGGAGAGGGAAGGCCGUUCAAUUGUACUACCAUGGAAGAAAGUCACAAGUCUAUUUAACCUGGCUCGAUUACUAGAGCAACUGCAUAAAAUUGAAGCUGCAAGUGUACUCUACCGCUUGAUUUUGUUUAAGUAUCCAGACUAUGUAGAUGCUUACCUGAGGCUUGCAUCCAUUGCAAAAGCU